GUUUUUGAUCAAGGUAGUUUUUGAUCAACUUGAAACUUAGUACACAUGUUCCCUAUGAUAUAAUCUAUCUAAUUUGAAUCCCAAAUUACAGUUUUGACUCCAAUUUCACGGUCCACUGAACAAAGAAAAUGAAAGUGCGAGUGGGGCAUCUGUGUAUUAUGCACACAUUCUUGUUUUAUAUAUAUCGGCCUUAUUCUUCAUACUAUUUGAUUGGGAUCAUAUAUGCGGAACUGCGGUAGCAAGUGACAACUUUUAAAGUGUUAUAAUAACUUUACGUCGUUUUCGAUUGAAACUUAUAAUAAAUAAUUUCAAUACGGAAGUGCAUGUUUUAAACUGAUACCAACGUUAAACAUUUGUUCCGUGUAAAAACGGUAAAAUAACUGAUAAGAAGUAUUAUUUCCUUUUUGCUUGACGUCACAGCAAGUCAUGCUAGUUUUUCUUUGUUUUAUGUCCGCUUCCUGAUAGUUCUUUAAUGACGACACAGGUAAAAAGAAAACUGAAGAAAACUAG
rnacentral:lncRNA from 1 species